CAGAGCAGCAGUAUUCGUAAGUGGUUAAAGCUGGAAACCUGGUCAUCAUCCUGGGCAACCUUCUUGUAUCUCCCUGAUCUUAAUCCAUUGCUUCAGUGCCUGAAGCACGUGGUGGAGACUGAACAGGCUUAAGAGUCUCUAGUACAUUUCCUGACAAGACCCAUUUUGAGGGGGGACAGUGUUGCACUUUUGUUGGCUGGAUAUAAGCUGAUCUCAACCAGAAGCAUUCCCCUCCUCCAGCUCCGACCCUCAGCCCCAGGGCUCCAAGAGCGUAUCUCAGAGGCAGUGUUCUGAGAGGAAACCCUUCUGACAAGGCCAGUUAGACUCUGGUCAAGCAUACACCAAUUAUUAUUAUUUUUUUUUCAAGAAGGCUCAAAUACUGGUGAAAUAACCCAAAGGCAGGUAUUCUUUGCUCAGAUGGAGGUAUUAAUUGUUCAGUCAACACUUAGUGGAUACAUAAUAGCCAACAUUUAUUAAGCACUUGCUAUGGCUGAGAAAUUCACAUCAAUUAUCUUAAGCCCCUUAAAGAUGACCUGAACAAGCACAAUUAUUACUUUCCAUUUUACAGAUGUGGAAACUAAGUUUUAUUGAAAAAUACCAUUCUUAAAGUCAGUGAUAUAGAUUCUUGAGUCAGGGUUCAAACUGGUGGGCUGGAUGCAUAACUAUACACACCCUGUGGCUGAACCGUACUAGGCUCUACAAGAACUAACAAGGGCACAGUCAUUCCUCAAGGGGGCACAGAGACUGGUCGGAGCACCAAGACCAGACAACUAUCAACUGCCACGCAAUGUAGACAUCAAUAAGCACAAUUUGGAAGGCACAAGGUGUUUAAUAUUAGAGUCCUACUGAAGGAUCAAGACAGGCUCCUUACUUACGUCUGGUUAAGAGUCUAAAAAGGAUAUAUGGAAGAUGUGGACUUUUAAAUUU